rnacentral:misc_RNA from 1 species
AAAGUCGUAACAAGGUUUCCGUAGGUGAACCUGCGGAAGGAUCAUUACCAAAUUGUCGGCCGCAAGGCCGGUCCUAGGCGCGGCGGCUUAAACCCCCCCGCGACCCAAGGUUCCACCCUUUGUGAAAACCCCACCGUUGCCUCGGCGGCACCUCUGCUCCCCCGCGGGGCGGAGGGUCAGUCCGCCGACGGCACCUAUUGAAACCCUUUUCUUGAAAAGAAGUAUUGUCUGAACCAAUGGUCGAAAUGACUAUAAAACUUUCAACAACGGAUCUCUUGGUUCCC